UCUAAUUCCUCAUUUGACAAAAAAAAAAAGAAAAAACUAGAUCUAUGGUGAUAAUCGCGAAUGACUCUCACCAUCGACUCCCUCAAGAAAACCCACAUCUGGAAGCGUGUCUCUACAUCUCACGAAAGUGAUAAUAGCGUUUCUGAGUAGAAACCACUCAGAGUUUCUUCCACUCAUCUCUAAUCCAUGGAAUCUCCAUUUGUCACCUUCGAUCUGUGUUCGUCGUCAUCUUCGAUUGCCAUCAACCAUUGUCACCUUCUAUUUGUGUUUUCCUUUGCCAGAUUCAAGUCCUUCAUGAUUUAGAAAUGUGUUUUGGUAGUGUGGCAGCGACUGUUCCCUUUGCGAGGACUACGUUUUUUUGUUGGGGAAAACAAGUAAUAAAGAAAAGCUUUCUUCAUGGUCUCUGGUGAAAGCAAGUAAAAAAGAAAAUCUUAAUACAUUGCAAAUUGGAACCAAAGGUAGGUUCUGUUUUGUGAAUUAUAUUCCUAUCUUUUAAUCUUUGUUCUUUCCAAUGAAACACAAACUACAAGGACUGUGUGGAUACUGCAAAUUGAAAACAACAAAUGAAAAUGUGGAUUCUUACAAGUUACAUGUGUGACAAUUUCUAAGAUUUCUGUCUUUAUGCAAUAUGAUUAGUGUCUUUAUGCAAUACGAUCUGUCUUCACUAUGUACAAUAUUUAACUUUCUGUUAGGUUAAUGUAGUUGUUUCAGUUAUGAUAUGUAGCCUGCUUUAGGUGGUUUCAUUGUGAUCAUUCAAGCUAGCCUUUUGGCAAAGCAAUUUUCUUUGGCUGUUUGAUAACUUUGAUUUAUGAUUAUGAUUGUGUAUGAAGUAAACAAUUGAUUUUAUGAUAAACAUUGUGAUAAAAAAUUCUCUUUC